GGACUACACGGGUAUCUAAUCCGGAUCGCUCCCCACGCUUUCGCGCCUCAGCGUCAGCAAAGCUCCAGGCAACCGCCUUCGCCACUGGUGUUCUUCCCGAUAUCUACGCAUUCCACCACUACACCGGGAGUUCCAUUGCCCCCUAGCUUGCUCCAGCCGCGCCGUAUCCGCUGACCCCGCCCAGUUGAGCCGGGCGAUUUCACAACGGACGUGCGUGGCCGCCUGCGCGCCCUUUACGCCCAAUAAAUCCGGGCAACGCUCGCACCCUACGUAUUACCGCGGCUGCUGGCAC
rnacentral:rRNA from 1 species